GACGUGGCAGCGAUUCCGUCGGGCGGAGCGGCGGAGUUUCCGUCGGGAGGAGCGGUGGCGAUUCCGUCCGGUGAUUGUGCAGUCCUGUUGCGCAGUUUGCGGGAGGUGAAGUUUUUGGUUUGCUGGUGGCUACGACGCGGCUGUGAAGUUGGAGCUGAUUUUGUCAUGGGUCAUAGAAAAAGAUCAAAAGUGGAUAUUUCUAGUGAAUCUAACAGUGACAAUGAUUGUAGUUUGAGUUCUGAUAAUCAUGAUAGUGAUGUUCAUUUAUCUAAUCAUGAUGAAAGUUCUGAUAAUCAUGACCAACAUUUUGAGGAAAAUGAUCCUUUGCUUCAUUUAACUAAAGAAGAGCUUAUGAAGAAAUUGAAAAUAAAGCUUGGUAAAAGGCCAUUUACAGAUGACCAUAAAAAGAAGAGACAUAAAGUUGAAUCAGACUCAAUUAUCGAUGAUGCAUUGUUAGAGAUUCACAAUGAUCUAGUUCUCCAUUCUUUGAAAAUGAAAUUAAGCAUGCUUGGUGAACAGUCUAAAAAUAAGAGAAAAACCUUUGAGAAAGAUAACCAACAAGGGUGUAAUGAUCUUAUGAAACACCCUUCAAAAACUAAUUUUGGAAUGGUCCAAAAGAGUUUUUCUGGAGCAUCACUUGCUAGACCAAUUGAGAUAUGUGACAUGCUGUUUUUCCCAAUAUUGCAUUUGAGGCAUUGGUUUCUGUUUGUUGUUGAUUUGAAAGAUGAGAGUUUUGUUUUCAUUGACUCCUUAUUUGAAGAAGAAGAAGAAGACUAUCAAUACAAUGCUAGAUGCAGACUGAUAAUAUACCCACCUCGUCCAAGACAAACAAAUCGCCUUGAUUGUGGUAUUUUUACUCUGAAAUUCAUGGAAAUUUGGCGUCCAAGAGUUCUGCUAACCAACCAGUUCUCUCAAAAAGACAUUCCUAACAUAAGGAUUCAAUAUGUCAACAAAUUGUUUUUCCAUCCAUGCAACAUUGUGCUGAACUCUGCAACAAAGAAACUUGUUACUGACUAUUAUGCAAAGAGUCCAACAAAAUUAAAUAAAAGGGAGAAGCAUUGA
rnacentral:lncRNA from 1 species